AGAGUUUGAUCCUGGCUCAGAAUGAACGCUGGCGGCGUGCCUAACACAUGCAAGUCGUACGAGAAAGGGGCUUCGGCCCUGAGUAGAGUGGCGCACGGGUGAGUAACGCGUGGGUAAUCUACCCUUGGAUUUGGGAUAACUUCGCGAAAGCGGAGCUAAUACCGGAUAGUCUGGCUUUAAUUAAGAAGUCGGUAAAGGAUGCCUCUGCAUAUGCAUUCGUCCGAGGAUGAGCCCGCGUCUCAUUAGCUAGUUGGUAGGGUAAUGGCCUACCAAGGCAACGAUGAGUAGCUGGUCUGAGAGGAUGAUCAGCCACACUGGAACUGAAACACGGUCCAGACUCCUACGGGAGGCAGCAGUGGGGAAUAUUGCGCAAUGGGCGAAAGCCUGAUCCAGCCAUGCCGCGUGUGUGAAGAAGGUCUUCGGAUUGUAAAGCACUUUAAGUUGGGAGGAAGGGCAUUAACCUAAUACGUUAGUGUUUUGACGUUACCGACAGAAUAAGCACCGGCUAACUCUGUGCCAGCAGCCGCGGUAA
rnacentral:rRNA from 1 species